AGCAGCUUAGAAGUCAAAUUAUAAUGAAAGGAAAAAAAAAGAGACAGGAUUUAUAAAUCAUUAAAAAGGAAGAAUUAAUUUUUCUUAUUAUAAUAAUUAGAUGACAUGAAUUUUGAUGUUGGACCGACGAAUACUCAGAAUGGAGGAAACGGAAGAAACGAUGGCAUGACGAUGUCGCGACGUCAAAGGCUCUUCCAAUCUUUCUCACCCUUUCUUGCAUCAGCAGCAUAUCUUGUCGUGAACUCGAAACUGACAGCUACUUUCUUGACAGGCAGAGUCUACUUUGUAGUAUAGUCCAACCACCAUUUCGUCGUCUUUAUGUAUAUACAGAUUGACAAGGCAAAGAAAGAAAGAGAGCAAAAAAAAAAGACGAUGCGUUGGUCCCGCAGGGCGAUUUCUUGGAACAAUAAACAAUCGGUGACAGCGGAAGUUGAAAUACAAAGACGUAAGAAAAAGCUUGUCGACAGCAACAGGUACUUUUGACAGGUGUACAAUGGAGGCAGGUCGCGCUAUUGUUGAGGCACUUGUUGCCAUUUAUAAAAAUCGACAGAAAGGAAGGAAGGAAGGUACAAUAUCCCUUUUGUAAAAUCAAGUAUCUCUUUCAUUCAAAAAUUAUUCAUCGUUUAACUAUAAAUACCAUUCAUUUUUUCUGUGGAGACUUUUUAAAAUUGGAAAAAUAUUCUAUGUGGCGGAACUUAAAUCCUCAGAGCACUUCUUUUGAGAAAAAUACAAAAAAAAAACCUAUUGUAGAAUUUAUAUUUUCCACCGUGAGGCAAAGAGGAUAGAAAUUUUGCAUUUAUGAGUCCUAUUCGACGAACAUGUGUUUGCGCUCGGUACCACAUGUUUCUAAUGACUAU